rnacentral:miRNA from 1 species
UCAGUAACAAGGAUUCAUCCUCGU